UUCAACGUUAGUAAAAGUAAUUUUUCAUCAAGUUGGAUUCAAACUUAAACUUUCUUCAACAAAAACAGGUUUUUAAGUCUAUCAACGGAGAGGGUUCAUACUUCCUAUUGUGGAGAGCGGAGCAGAGACGUGGCGGUGAAGAAGGUCUUUCUCUCCAAACUCAACCCCCGCCUCAAAGCUUGUUUGCAUUGCGAGAUGAACUUCUUGUCCUCUGUUAACCACCGCAAUAUUAUUCGUCUUCUUCACUUCUUCCAGGGAACCUAACUUUUUAUAUUUGAAGCCAUGGAAGAGUUCAAUAACAUACUGCUAGAAAAUUCAUGCACCAGCCUGGCUCUGGUCUCCGAGUAUUACACUUUCACGACAAACAAAGACUUGAAAUCGGAGGUAGGAAUAUGAUGUUUCUUUUCCGGACUCAGAAGUUUGUUGUUGAAGUUGCAGUAGACGCACUUCAGCAUGUUCAUUUUACCUGUGUUUUUGUUGAAUCUUUAGCAUCUAGCUUUUAUUUUAUUUUUAACCUUGAAUUACUGCAUCGGAGCUAACUAUUUAUGUGUUCGUUAAUUUGAGAAAUAUUGUUCUGUUAAACUUGAUUUGUGGUUUCCUAAAAUUUAUUGAACUAUUUGUGAAAGUUUGUUUAUGCAUGUGAGAUGAGUUGAGGAGUGUCUGAUAAACACUUGUUCCCUUGUGCUUCAUUUAGAUGGUAGAAAAUGAAAAAAAAAAAUUAAAAAAUAAAAAAAGAAGAGAAUUAGAGUAGAAAGUGAGGUUAUUUGGAUGAGUUGAAAAAGAGUGGAAAUAAGAGUAAAGAAGAAUAAUCUUAUUUAUUAAUAUUCACAAUUAAUUUUUAUAAUAAUUUCAUUCACAAUGGAUUGUGUUGGCCUAUAAUCGAUUAUGUAUACAAAUUACAUUCCAAAAGACCCAUCUUGUUAAAAACAUAAUGUGUUUAUGAUGUACUAAAAUAAGCUAGGCACGGGUUGGAACUUGGAAGAUAAGCUAGGCUGGCUUUCCUCUCAAAUGUCAUGUCUUGUUGUAGGAAAGCUUGACCGGUGGGCUCCAUAACUGAAUACUCUCAUUUCUACUCAAAUACCUUGAAACAGUGUUAAUGGGUCACAAGUACUUAAAAAUUUAUAAUGUUAAGAGAAUAUGUUACACUAAAAUGGGUUGAAACGACUGGAGUCUAAUUUUCUUGAGCGAGAUAGAUUCGUGAGCAUCAAGUCAUGACACCUUUACUUAUUCAUCGAACAACAUUAACAUGACAUCUUAGGUCAAAUACCACGUAUUUAGAUGUACCUCCUACAAAAGUGAUCAAAUAUCACAAUCACUAAAACACAUAUUUUUUAAUUUGAUAAAAUCAUAGAUGUGAAUCUUGUCAAACAAAUUUGACUGAUAUGAUAAAUGGCAUUUUUUUUUUUUGCCAGUUAUAU